GUGAAAUCAAAUACCCGAAGGACUGUGCCUGCCUCUCUCUCUCUCUCUUGGGCGAGUGCACUGCUCUUUUUGGUAUGUACCAUACCUUGCUUAAUAACUUGUGUGGGUGGGUGUUGAAACAUAGCACAGAGAAGCAGUUUGCUGGGAUGUUUAUAAUUACACUAAGCAAUUUAGGCACAGAGGUUGCUGUUCAGGAAAUCGGGGCAUUAUGUGGCUGUUAAAUCACAGCGGUAUUUGGGAUAUGAUUAAACUUCUGUGGGCAUCCUUUCAAAAGCCCUUAGCUGAUGGGACCUUUGCGAUUUGACCUCCUGGGCACCCCAUCUUGACUCUGGCAAAAGAACUGUCUGUUUUUUGAGAAACUGGGCAGAUUGGUAGGUAUUGAACUGGUGGGACUUAACAAAGCUGAUGAUCAGCAGCCUGGAAACCAAGCCUUACGGGAAAAGGCUGAAGGAGCUAGGUAUGUUUAGCCUGGAAAAGAGGAGACUGAGAGGAGAUACGAUAGCCAUCUUCAAAUAUCUUAAGGGCUGUCACAUGGAAGAGGGAACAAGUUUGUUUUUUUCCUGCUCUGGAAGGUAGUACUUGAACCAAUGGCUUCAAGUUGCAAGAAAGGAGAUUCCGACUAAACAUUAUCUUUCUGACAAUAAGAGCUGUUUGACAGUGGAACGGUCUCUCUUGGGAGGUUGUGGACUCUCCUUCUGUUAUGUACUGAGCUGAAUUCUAGAACAAUAGAAUCCAGAAUGCAGCAGUCUGACUGGUCCUCAGGAGCAACCCAAUCCAGCUCCAGGUGGAAGUGAAUCAGCGACCUGAUUGGCCUGCAGGAGCAGCCAAUCAGGCUUCUGGAGGAGGUGAAUCUGCAACCUGAUUGGCCUACAGGAGCAGCCCAGAAUUAGCCAAUCACGCGGGGCCCAUUGUGUAAAUAAUGUAUAUACAGCUAGACGUUUUGGGGAAAGUUUCAUUCAUUGCUACUAUGAGCUGAAUAAAGAGCAUGAAAUUCACACUUGACUCCGAGUAUAUUUCACCUUCCUUGGAGGUUUUUAAGCAGAGGCUGGAUGGCCAUCUGCUAUGGAUGCUUUAGCUGAGAUUGCAGCAUUGCAGGGGGUUGGACUAGAUGACCCUUGGCGUCCCUUCCAACUCUUACAAUUCUAUGAUUCUUUUAUGGAAAAAGCAGGUGGGUUUUAUUAGUAUAUGUAGAUCCCAACUUUCCUCCAAGGUAGCAUGCAUGGUUUUCUCCUCAUCUUAUUCCCUGAACAGCCCUGUGAGGUUGAUUAGACAUAGGCCAUUCAUAUCAUACAUUUAAAACACUAUGACACCACUUUAAAUAGUCAUGGCUUCCCCCACAAAAUCAUGGGAGCUACAGCUUGUUAAGCAUGCUGAGAGCUGCCAGGAGAUCCUGUUCUCCUCACAGAACUACGAUUUACUGAGUGGUGUUGUUGGUUUCUGCUUUCCUUCACUGUGCAGCUCUGCUUGUCACGAGACAGGUGUUUACAUUCCACAGUCUGUACUGUUGGAGUUUCUCACGGGAAAGGGAGACUGGAUGUGACGUACACUGGUUUCCUGUUUUUCACUGUGUGAUUCUCUCCGAGCUGUUGAGGAGAGAGGAUGCAUUUUCUGCUCCGGCAGAGGCAAGAUGUCUUUCUGUAAUAUACCAGCUUUGAACUGUAAAUAAAGCAAUAUAGAGUAUGCAGCACGUAUUCCUCAUCCUUCCGCUGGGCACGAGACUCUGCUUUAAAUCAACACGUGGUUAUGGGCUCCAGAAGUCGAAUCGGAGUGCCGGCAAAGGAUCGGAAUGCAGAGGGACAGAUCGGAACGGAAUCUGCUCUGCGCGUAGAAGUGAUUGAUGAGGUAUGUGCUACUGCUCCGGGCAGCCUGCCAGCUUCAAGUUAAUGGCUUUAUGGCUGGACUUUGAACUUUUAAAGCCGGUUUUGCCGGGAAUAGGCAAAAGGCUCCCAGGCACAAGUCACUAUGCUGGGGAAAUCGAAAGUAACUUUUAAGUGCGCCUUUGUAAUAAGGCAGCUGCAGCAGUGACGCAGCAAGAUUUAAAGCAGCAUAUAUAUGACGCUGAAGGCUAAUGCCAGAGUCAUGAUGGCCCUUCAGGAUGCUUGUGGGAUUCCUAAGCUCAACAAGAAAAAUUACAGCGACUGGGUUCAGUAUGCAGAGGCAAUUCUGCGGAAAGAGGGUUUGUUUGAGGUGAUUACAGAAACCCACCAGUUCCAGUUACAGAUGCAUGGAAAGCUAAGGAUUCCAAAGCAAGGGGAACUCUUACAUUGAUAGUAUCCCCAGAAGAGCUCUGUCUAUUGCGUGAUAAGACCUCAGCCAGAGAAAUUUGGGACGCUUUGAGAGAGGCUCACUUAAGGACAGAAGCUGGAUCCACUAUGUUUUACUUUAACAAGCUGCAUAAUAUGGCUCUUGCUGAAGGUGGAGAUGUGCGUUUACAUCUGAUGGAGAUGCAAAAUCUGAGACAUGAGCUGCAACAGAGAGGACUCAACUUUCCAGAGGCUGUGUAUUCUUUCAUGAUACUACAAUCUUUGGGUUCAGGUUGGGAGUCUGUUGCAACCCAGAUUGCUGUGCAACCAACUGCUCAGCUGACAGUGGACUUUGUUACUGCCGUGAUUUUAAAUGAAGCAGAUCGCCGGGGUGCUAGCUGCAUGGGCAAGGGGAGUCUUCACAGACGUCAUCCCAUAGUGCAGUGGAACCACCAGAUGGCGCCAAAGCUUUGAAGGCAGUGAAAUGCUACUCGUGUGGACGUCUAGGCCAUAUGAAGAGGGAAUGCAGACAUCCCAGGGCCAAGACAGAGCAGCGCAGCGAAAGCUCAUCGCGCGGAAAAGGCCGAGGCAAAGGCAAAGGUCCGGUGUCAGGGACAACGCAGCACAAGGCUAUGGUUUCACGCUUCACUCCAAAGGUUGCAGAGGUCCAGAAGACGUCUAGAUCUUUCUUCGUUGUUGAUUCAGCGGCCACCCACCACAUGUGCAACGAUAAGAAACUGUUUGUGUCUUUUACACCGCAGGAAGGUGCGAUUCACCAGGCGGAUGACCACACUAUUCCCAGUAAAGGCUACGGAACUGUUGUUCUUCACAGUUUGGACUUAUCGAUACAGAAUGUGCUUUACGUGCCAGACGCCAAACAUAAUCUGCUCAGCGUUGGACAGCUGAAUGAGCGGAACAUUGACGUUUCCUUCAAGAACAAGAAGUGCAUCAUCACAAAGAAAAAUGAUUAUGUAUUGCAUGCAGAAUAUGUUGAUCGUUUGUUUGUUUUGUAUUAUGAUGAUGUGGUGCAGGAUGACACUUGUUGCAUUGCAGGUUCUAACAAAAGUUUGCAUGCAGAAUGUAUUCACGAUUUUCAUAGAAAAUUUGGUCAUUUGCAUUUUGAGGCAGUAUCUAAAAUGCCUGCCUUGGUUGAAGGUAUGACUAUUAAACCCUGCAGGUACCACAUGAAGUGCAAAGCAUGCGCAGCAAACAAAGUGAAAAUGGCUGCGAAAGGUAAGGUGUCUAGUAGGAAAGCUACAGAACCAUACCAGGUUGUUCAUGCUGAUUUGGUUGGACCACUAGCGCCCUCUUUGGGUGGAAAUAGAUACUUCAUGGUUCUCAUUGAUGCAUUUUCUAGAUAUAUUUUUGUGUACAAUCUCAAGCAGAAAUCGGAGGCUUUUCCUAGGUUCAAGGAAUUCUGUGCUUGGUUGGAAAAUGUGCAUGGUAAGAAGAUAAAGACUCUUUUCUGUGAUCGCGGGGGGGUAUUCACUUCUCAGCAGUUUGAAGCUUUUCUGACUGAGAAAGGAAUUCAACACGAUUUGUCUAGUCCUCGCUCGCCAUGGCAGAAUGGACUUGCGGAACGGGCAAAUCAGACAUUGCUUCAAGGGUUAAAAACCUUGCUGCAUGAUGCCAAUCUUCCAGAGAGUUAUUGGGCCGAAUCUCUCUCGUGUUUUGUUUACAGUUACAAUCGCAGGUUAUCUUCAGCGAUUGGUUGUACCUCUAUGAGAAGAUGUUUGGCAAGAAGCCAUACAUCAAACACAUGAAGAUUUUUGGUUCUGACAUGUGGGUUCGCUCACCACAAAACUCCAAGUUAGACAAGCGUGGAUUGCAUGGUAUCUUUCUAGGUUAUCAGAAAGGGUCUUACAGAAUAAUGAUGACUGACUCUAAGACAAUUAAGCUCACGAGAAGUGUUGAGUACAAUGCAAAGUGGGGGAGAAUGUGGGAAUUUUCCAAUGUUAUCCUGAUGACGGUGAUGAGACUGAGGAUAGUCAAAAGCAACCACAACAACCCACACCCACUGAUGAAGGUUCUGAGUCUGAAUCUGAAACUGAAUCGGGUGAUUCAGAGGAUUUCAAGAGUGCGAAAGCCUCUAUGCGACCCUCUGAAAGCUCUGAUCAAGAAUUGGAGGAACCAUUGUUCACAAUAGGUCGUUUUUCUCCUAAGAAGGAAGAGGAGAGUGUUGAAGACUUAAGGCUAAUUCGUAGGUCACAGAGAGCCACAAAAGGCAAACCUCCAAAGAGAUUUGCUGAUGAGUUUGCUACGAUAGCAGUAACAGCUGUUAAAAGCUCCAAGAAGGUAUUUGAACCUUCAAGUUUCCAAGAAAUCCAGGGUUUGGAUUCAAAGGAAGCUGAGCCAUGGUUAAAUGCCAUGAAGGCUGAGCUUGAUUCCUUAGAAAGGAACAAAACAUGGGAGCUAGUUCCAGUAGUUCCAGGAAUGAAACUGCUUGGAAGCAAAUGGGUCUUCAAAGCGAAGACAGAUCAAAAUGGCAAGAUAGUCAGACACAAAGCCAGAUUGGUAGCCAGAGGUUUUGCACAGGUACCAGGUCAAGACUAUCACGAGACCUAUUCACCCACAGUGAGAUAUGAAAGCAUUAGGCUUAUGCUCAAGCUAGCUGCAGAGGAAAAUCUACACAUUAGUCACCAUGAUAUUAAUACAGCUUUUCUGUACGGAUCUCUAGAUGAAUCACUUUAUAUGCUUCCACCUGAUGGCGUACAGGUAAAACAGGGAUUUGUUUGUGCUCUGAAGAAAUCCCUUUAUGGUCUCAAACAAAGUGCACGGUGUUGGCACACAAAACUCACUGAAGUAUUGUUUUCUCUAGGUUUUCAGCAAGGGAAAGCUGAUCCAUGUGUAUUUGUCAAAGAGGAGGGGCAAAAGAAACUGUACUGUUUGUUUUAUGUUGAUGAUUUAUUAUUCUUUUGGAAAGAUGUCGCAAUGUACAAUAACGCCCUAGCUCAACUGAAAGAGCACUUUGACAUGAAAGAUCUUGGUGAGGUAAACAACUACCUAUCUCUGGAAAUAGAGAGAGAUCAAGAUGGUAACAUUCUAGUACACCAGUCACGGAAAAUUGCUGAUGUGUUAAGCAAACUAAAUCUGAUGGAUGCUAACCCUGUAGACACACCGAUGACAACAGGUUAUCAGGUAGAUGACACUGAAGAAGCAUUUUCUGACACUACACUGUACAGGAGUGUGCUAGGCAAGCUAAACUUCAUUGCCAGAUGUUCAAGACCAGACAUUGCUGUUAGCUGUAAUUUGCUAAGCAGACAAGUCAACAAUCCUAGUGUCAAGCAUUGGAAAGCUCUGAAACGCAUAGCGCGGUAUUUGAAAGGCACUAUGCAUUACAGACUGAGAUUUAACAAUCAGAAGUCUGGUGGUCUUGAGAUAUUUGCAGAUGCAAGUUUUGGAAGUGACGCUACAGACAGGAAAGGUACGUCUGGAGUUUGCUACAUGUACAAUCAGAGUCUGUUUGAUUGGUCAUGCAAGAAGCAAACAACAGUUAGCUUAAGUACUUGUGAAGCCGAACUGAAUGCACUGUCUUAUUCACUUAAGGAUUGUGAAUGGUUAGUACAAUUGUGCAAAGAUAUGAAAAUUCCUGUCAAAUGUCCAAUCCAGGUUUACCAGGACAACAAAGCAUGUUUGGCUUUGCUGAAGUCUGAAGGUUGUAAGCAAAGCACAAAGCACUUGCAAUUAAAGUUGCAGCAUGCUAGGGAAUGUAUUCAGAAGGGACUCGUAACGGUGUCCUAUAUGCCAGGUAAUGAAAUUCCUGCUGAUGUAUUGUCCAAGAUUGUAUCAAGGGAUCAACACUGUACCUAUGUGCAGAAGUUGGGUUUGUACUGAUAUUGUACAAACACGCUGCCCAGUGAUGUUCACAGAAAGGGGGAGGAUGUUGGUUUCUGCUUUCCUUCACUGUGCAGCUCUGCUUGUCACGAGACAGGUGUUUACAUUCCACAGUCUGUACUGUUGGAGUUUCUCACGGGAAAGGGAGACUGGAUGUGACGUACACUGGUUUCCUGUUUUUCACUGUGUGAUUCUCUCCGAGCUGUUGAGGAGAGAGGAUGCAUUUUUCUGCUCCGGCAGAGGCAAGAUGUCUUUCUGUAAUAUACCAGCUUUGAACUGUAAAUAAAGCUAUAUAGAGUAUGCAGCACGUAUUCCUCAUCCUUCCGCUGGGCACGAGACUCUGCUUUAAAUCAACACGUGUAACAGUCAAUCCCUAUUCCCAGGGAACUCUGGGAAUUGUGAGGAAUAGGGCUGACCAGAGCUUCGGCUGAGAUCUAGAACUUGUUUUCAUAUCAAUGCUCAGUAAGCGAAAUAACAAGGAUGGUGGAAAAAGCACUGGCUUUUGUACAGACUGCUAUUCCUUCAAAGCUGACUGUUGUCAACAUCCCCCACUCUUCCCCAGUCAAGGUCAUAGUCCUCAAGGCUGGUUAAGUUAUUUUGUUCCACAAAUACCUCACCCUAAUAGUAAAAAAAUACAAAAAUAAACCAUGAACUAACUAGUGAUUUCCUGCUCUUUCUUAAUACCCAGCACUAGUUGCCUGAGGCAGCUACUUCACUCUGCCUAAUGCAUACCUGCCAAAAGCCCCGGAAAAAUUGGACAUCCUAUUUUCUCAUGCAAGAUCUCAGCUGCCAUUUUGGGUGCCACAAUAUUGCGUGCUCAGGGCCACGCUCUAGACCCAAAAAGCAUUUGGGGGUGCCUGAGAGCGUGGUGUGGGUCACAUGAUUCACCCAGAAGCACUUCCCAGAAGACACGCAUCCGAAAAAGUUGGAUGGCAAGCUAAUGAUAGGGAUGUACCAGUUUCUUGAUAAGCAAUGCAUAGGAUUAAGAUGUUAAAUUGCAAUGAGUAGAAUGAGUACUGUGCUGUAUAUUUAAUAAUAUUUUGAGCUUUGAUUAGCUAUAGAUCCAAGAUCCUUGUAUUAUAACAAAUAGGAGCUAAUAGGGUUGGGUAGGGUAGAAAGGUGCUGUCUGUAUGACAAAGCAGGUAAAAAAAAGUCAAUAAUACAUUAAUACAAAAGAAAUGAGUUAGCAGGUGUGAAGCAGCACUCAGAAUCAUUUUAGUCUGAUCCAACAAGGUAAUUAUUAUGUUCUUUAGCACCCCUGAGGUCCCCCCUCUCUCAACCCCUCCCCCAUAUAUUGAAUUAAAUGAAUGUGUCAAUAUCUUUGAAAUAGGAGGGUUAAUGUUAUCCAAUUCCUUGAAUAUAUCUAUAUCUCUAAGUCUGCCUGCCUGUCUACCUACCUACCUAUCUCAGUCAGUAGAGCAUGAGACUCUUAGUUAUGGGUUCGAGCCCCAGGUUGGGCAAAAGAUUCCUGCAUUGCAGAGGCUUGGACUAGAUGACCCUCGUAGCCCCUUCUAACUCUACAAUUCUAUGAAUCUAUCAUCUGCACACAUUUCCCCUGAAUGUUCUCUCAGCUCUCCAGAUGUUUGUUUUCGAUCUUUUCCAAGCUGUGGGUUUGUGUGUUGCCUGGAACAAACAGGCUCUGUUUAGCUUAUUAUAGAAAGAGGGGCGUCCUACACAGCACCUCUACACACACAAAAGGCUGAAGUGGAGCCUGUACUGGACUGGGAUGCUAUUUUAAUAGCCGAAAGGUCACCAGAAGUCUCCCCGUGGUCACUCGAUACCCUCUCUUGCGCUGCACAUUAGCAUUCCUCUCCGCAGGUCCCUUUCUACUAGUCUGAAAGAGUCGGCUCUCAACUCCUACACAAAAUGUGGAGUUGUUAGGAUUUGCAGAGGAGACAUUAAAUCAGCCUCUGGAGAUUCCUUUGUCAAAAGGAAGCCAUAUUUAUUAAAAGUGCAGUUGGCUCUUCACAUGUGUCAUAUUCCCUCCCGCUCCCCUUGGCCUUUCCCCUCCUUCUGGCACAUCCACCCCCUGCCCAGGGUGGGGGAAAAGCCCUCUGCAGGAACAUCCAGUGAAUAUUAUCUAGUGGCUCGUGCUUGUCAUUCUGUCCUGUGUGAUACUAUUUUUAGAAAGGGAUUUUCAUCCAAUUGCCGUUCAGCAGACUAGUUGUCAAGGCAAACACCGAGAAGGUGGUUGAGGUUGAAUUUGUCAAUGAUUCAGCAGUGCGGGCUGUUGUUAGCAAGCCAGGCUUGCCUCUCUGAUAAUAAUGUGCGCUCUGGCAUUUCUGAGAGCCGGUGUGAUGUUGCAGGUAGCAUGUUUGGCCCUGAAAGUGAAGGGCCUGACGGGCUCUAAUAACUCCCCAGGGAUGAAGCUUACAUCUUAGCGGUCCUUGGACCAAUAACAAUGCAUAGCAUCUGUAGCAACGCUUUAGAGCACUUAGUGCAAGGGUGGGCAUGGGGUUUUUGGACUAUGACAUACCCUCCAACAUUUCUCUGAUGAAAAUAGGGAGAUAUUAUUCUAUACCUUCCAACAUUUCUCCAGUGAAAAUAGAGACAUCCCCUCCAACGUUUCUCUGAUGAACAUAGGGACAUCCAAUUCCAUACCCUCCAACAUUUCUCCAAUGAAAUAGGGAUGUCCUAAGGAAAAGGGGGACAUUCUGGGAUCAAAUCAGAAAUGGGGACAGAUUCUGUAAAUCCAGGGCUGUCGCUAGAAAAUAGGGACACCUGGAGGGUCUGCUAUGACUCCCACCACACCAAGGCAGCAUGGUCAAUAGUCAAGGAUGAUGGGAGUUGCAGUCCAAAGCAUCUGGAAGGUUACAGGGUCCCCACUAAGGGGUUAAAUCUGUAAAUUUCAGUUUUUCAUAGCCCCCCCAUCUUGAAUUCUUCACAUUUCCACAUACCUUUGCAUUUCCCCCCACAUUCUUCAUUAAAAUUGUGAAUGAGAAAUUUUAUUGUGAAUUUCUCCUAAUAGACAUUUCUUUUUUUGCAAAUCAGCAUUCUGUAUCGUAAUGCACUUUCACAUGAUUUUCAGCAGUAUAUGCAUUUUUAUGCACACUUUGCCCUACUAUAUGCAUUUUGUACGCAUCACUUGGCAUGUUUCAGAAGAUGGCUGUGCUUCCAUUUACAGUUUUGGGGAAGCUUGCCUUGAAAUGCAAACAGAAGCAAAUUUGUUUGCCAUCCCUAUUCCCCACCAUGCCUGAGUAGACAUUAGUAAGACAGAUGGACCAAUAGCCUGAUUUUGUAUUAUGCAGCUUAUGACAAUCAAGUCAUAAGCUGGACUAGGUUAUCAUCUGUACUGUGUUGUACAAGGGACUGCCUUUCAAGAACAUUCAGAAACUCCUGUGUCAUAGAAUUGUAGAGAUGGACGGUAUCCCAAUUCAGGAAUCUCAGCUAAAGAAUCCCGGACAGAUAGCCAACCACCCUCUGUUUAAAAACAUCUAAUGAAGUUUUCCAUCACUUUCCGACAUACUCCUCUCCACUGUUGCAACAGCUCCUACCAUCAGAAAGCUCCUCCUAAAGUUUAGUUGGAAUUUUCUUUCUCGUAAUUGAACCCAUUGGUUUGGGUCCAGCCUUCUGGAGCAUCUGACAGCCCUUUGGGUAUCUGAAUCUGGCUAUCAUAUCACCUGUCAGCCUUCUCUUCUCCAGGUUAAACAUACCCAACUCCCUCAACUGCAGAUGGAACUAUUAAGAAGGAGUCACCAAAAUGAACACAUCUGCAGUUCAUUUAGAGAAGUGAAAUUCAAAGUGGUGGGUUUGUUUCAGAAGGUCCAAAAUGAACCAGGACCAGGACGAUGGUGUCUGAGGGACCAUCUUUGCCUGUAUGGACUUGCCUAUUCACAAAGAUCACCAUUACAGACCUGCUAAUCCCACCUACAGCGUUCAGUAUUUUAAAUUGUCUAGCUCACUUAUUAGAGCAAGGCCCUCACAAAAUGGCAUCCAUAAAAACAUAUACAGUGGUACCUCGGGUUUAGUACUUAAUUCGUUCUGGAGGUCCGUUCUUAACCUGAAACUGCUCUUAACCUGAAGCACCACUUUAGCUAAUGAGGCCUCCUGCUGCUGCUGCGCCACUGGAGCACGAUUUUUGUUCUCAUCCUGAAGCAAAGUUCUUAACCCGAGGUAAAUUUCUGGGUUAGCAGAGUCUGUAACCUGAAGCGUAUUUAACCUGAAGCGUAUGUAACAAUACUAUAUCUAUCUAUCUAUCAUCUAUCUAUCUAUCUAUCUAUCAUCUAUAGCUAUAGAAUCAGAAACUUUCAAAAAACAUUGAAACAAUAUAUCUCCCAAUUAUAUAAAAAAUCAGUAGCACAAAAUAUUAUUAUGAUAUACACUCUCUUAUUCUUGCUUCUGGCAUUGUCAGAUUGGUAUUCCACUGAUCAUAUCUAUACUAUUAUAUGUAACAAUACUGAUUAGACUAAGGUGCCCACUGUUAAAAGACAGACACUGUAAGGCACAAACCAGGAAUUCUUACAUGGGCUAGGAUCAUAUUCCUGGGAACUGAGAAAGAAGCAAGCACCAACUGUGAAACAUCAACGCACUAACAAAUUGCUGGGUUUUCAAAUGUGAACAUGGAACUGAGCAAUUAAGCAAAUUAUAGACAUUUAAGGCCAAGAAAAACCAUCCAUUGACUACCUCCCAGCCCCCACCCCAUGGAAGCCAUAGUUACCAGUAAAGGAUGGCAACUGUGGAAUAAAGCCAGAAAACAGAGACAUCACCAGAAAGAGUUAUGUUAAAUUCAGAAGAUCUGGGUUUAACUCUAUCCCUUUCCCAUAGUUAGAAAACCAAGAUGGUUAGGACACAUUCAACACAGUCAAUCAAAGGCAUGUAACAAAAUGAAUUUCAAUAUGGGCAAAUGUAAGCUUCUACACUUCUGCAGGAAGAACCAGCUGCACAAAUAUAAGAUGGGGGGCACCUGGCUUACUAGUAGUACAUGUGAAAAGGAUCUUGGGGUCUUAGUAGACCCCAAGCUUAACAAGAGUCAACAGUGUGAGCAGCUGCAAUAUAUAUAUAUAUAAUGCUAUUCCAGGCUGCAUCAACAGAAGUAUAGUGUCCAGAUCAAGGAACUAACAGUACCACUCUAUUCUGCCUUGGUCAGACAACACCUGGAGUAUUUGUCAGGAUACUGACAAGCUAUAACAUGAGCAGAGGAGGGUGACCAAGAUUAUCAAGGGCUGGAAAUCAAGCCUUAUGAGGAACAGUUGAGGGAGUUGGGUAUGUUUUGCUAGGAGAAGAAAAGACUGAGAGGAGAUAUGAUAGCCGCCUUCAAAUAUCUCAAGGGCUGUCACCUGGAAGAUGGAGCAUGCUCAUUUUCUCCUGCUCUGGAAGGUAACACCAUAACAACAUUCAAGUUAUAGGAAAGGAAUUUCCGACUCAACAUCAGGAAGGACUUUCUGGCAGUAAGAGCUGUUCGACGGUGAAAUGGUCUCGCUUGCGAGUUCGUGAACUCUCCUUCAUUGGAGGUUUUGAAGCAGAGGCCAAUGUCCAUCUGUCAUGGAUGCUUUAGUUGAGAUUCCUGCAUUGCAGGUGUCCCUUCCAACUCUACAAUUCUAUGAUUCAUUUGGGAAAUCACAAUUAUUUUUAAGGCAGAGGAGCCUUUUUCAGCCAGAGAGCACAUUCCCUUCUGAGCAGUCUUCCAGGGGGGCACAUACCAGUGGUGGCUGGGGCAGGAGGCACAACUGGGAGGAGCAACAAAUGUAAAGGCUUUGUAUGGUAGGCUAGUUUCAGCCCUUUCGAUCCUCUGUCCAGUUUUGGAUUGAGCAUCAUCUGAUGUCAACGACACAUUCCAGACAGAAAAAACCACUCAGCAAAGGUGUGAAUGGUUAGACUGUUGAACUAUAAUAUGGGAGACCACAGUUUGAAUCCCCAUGCAGCCAUGAAGCCCACUGAGUAGCAUUGGGCCAGUCACAGUCUCUCAGCCUAGCCAACCUCACAGGGCUGUUGUGAAGACAAAAUGGCAAGGAAAGAACCAUGUAUACCACUGUCAGGGGUUUUUUGUAGCAGUUCGAAAGCACAUCAAAGUGCAAGUAGAUAAAUAGGUACCACUCCAGCGGGAAGGUAAAUAGCGUUUCCGUGUGCUGCUCUGGUUCGCCGGAAGCAACUUAGUCAUGCUGGCCACAUGACCUGGAAGCUGUACACCGGCUCCCUCGGCCAAUAAAGUGAGAUGAGUGCUGCAACCCCAGAGUCGGACACGACUGGACCUAGUCGUCAGGGAUCCCUUUACCUUUACCUUGUGCUGUGUUUCUGGGCACAGGUCUGGGCUUCAAAGCUAUGUGUCCAAGCAGUUUUGAUUUAUUUGUUGUCGUUCCAGUGCUUUCCCCAGGAAAAUCCAUGUUUUGCCAUUGAACCGGAACAAAAGCAUUCGAGUUUUCUGUGGAUUGUCAUUUGCUCCAAUUCGGGGUGGGAGAGACCACUCUGACACAGAGCUUUGAAGCACAGACCUGUGGUCCUGGGUUCUGGCUCCACCUAUCCUUGAGCUCUCUGCUUUCCGCCCCACCAGUCCCAAUGGCUUCCAACCCAUCAUGAGGUCUGGAAAAGUGGGGAGGCUGUAGCAUACAAAUCAAAGUGAAGAAUGCAGACCUGGAGGUUCUUUGAAUCUGGGACUUCACUUCUGUCUCCUCCACCUCCUCUGUAAAAUCUUCUUAGCAGGAAUUUUGCAAACCUCCCGUUUAAACCCAGCAGCGAGAACCAUUUGUUUGCUUAGAGAUUAUUGAGGGUCCCUGAAGAGUGAGGUUGACCAAUAUUGAAUUUGUUAAUGCAGAUAAAACAACUUACAAGACGCUGGUUUCUAAUAAUACCAAGGUGUUGCUUUAAAGAUUAAUUAAACUCUAACAUAUUGAGCCAGCCUAGUAGACUCGUGAAUAAAUUCCCGGUGACAUACUGGGUUUCGUUUGCUCCCAGGGUUCGUUGGAGCUUGAUGCAUGGCAGAAAUGGCAAACUUCUGCUGAUUAUGCUCCCGUCUUGUUUGCUACGGCUCUCGCAUUCCAAAGCAGUUGCUGCGUCCCGGCGGACUCUUGAUUCAAUAGGCUUAAUUACAAAGUUGAAAAAUUGAGUCAUGCGCACAGGUCAAAUUAGAAUGUACUUAAUAUCCCUCCAAAGGAGAAUUUGGACCAGUUUAUCUACAGGGCUCCCAACUCCUGGGAAAAUGAAAGCACAAUCCAGAUCAAUAAUGCUAUUAAGGGCUGAAUUAGAAAUGAGUUCAAACAGGAAUCGCAAGGUGAUCAUGUUGGACCACAUGCUGGUUUGAAUGGAAAGAGCUACAGUAAAAUAGACUUCGUGACACCAGUGUAUGGACUACUUAGGAACAUAGGACGAGGCCUUAUAUGGAGUCAGACCAUUGGUCCACCUAACUUAGUAUUGGCUACACUAACUGGCAGCAGCUCUCCAGGGUUACAGGGAGGGGGUUUCUCCCAGCCCUGCCAGGAGAUGCCAGGGACCUUUUGCCUGCAAAAUCCAGGCUGUGCCACCAAAUUAUCAUAUUUCCCAACACCUCACAGGGUAUGUUAAGCUUAAAUAUGUGCAUAAUUUAUCAUCUCCUUUCCCCCCCACCCUAAAACUAACUCUAACUCUUUGCUUGACAUUCUCCGUUAUUUAUUUGUGGCUCUCAUCAGACGCCAUCACUUCACAACUCUGAAGAUCCAGACUCAUCAGUUGAAAAGCAUCAACUUGAGAGUACAAUACAGUGACACUGGAUUUGUAUAAUGAUGACACUGAGGCAAUUCUACUGUAAAACGAUCUGUACCAUUAAACUCAAGAAACAUAUUCCUUGCAAAGGGAGAAGGGGGAGAGAAACCCCCCCCCCAACCUAUGCUUUCUAAGGCUGCUAGACAACAAUUUUUGAUGCAAGAUAAUGUGUGCAGCAUGGGAAGAUUUGCACAACUGAGGCAACAGUUUCCUAGCAACCAUAGAUCCUCUACGAAUCCUUUCACUGAUAACCAUUAAAAUGUAUGUUAAAUAGCAUUAGGCACUGAAAAAAGAGAGAAAAGAAAUGGAAUCAUGAGGAGAUUCACAUCUUACAAAGACUGGGAACUGUUUAAGCAGUGCAGUGUUCAAGUUUUUGAUGCAAAAUAUAUCCAUGCCCCAAAAUAAUGAUGCCACUCUCAAAAUAGUACUACUAACUUCAUAUCAGGCUCAUUAUCUUAUCACUAUUUUUCUUAUUACAUUUAUUACCUGCCCUUCAUCAGCAGGUCCCAGAAUGGGUUGCAGCAAUUUGAAAUUGCAACCAACCCUAAAUGAGGCUGCCAUUUAGUAGUGGGUCCUGACCUACCAGUUGAAGAUCAAUGUCAUAGAGGACAAGGGAUGUGCAUUCUGCUUCCCUCCCAGACCAAUGCUUUGAAAUAGCCAGGUAGAAAGGCCUAUGUUCUCCUUUACAAGAGAUGCCAAUGAAAGUCUUGACCCAGGCUCAGAGGAGAACUUUGGAGACUAAAACACCUGGCCUGAAAGUGAGCUCUACAAGGUCUGAAAUUCUUCUCCAUCUCAGAUCAAAAUCCGAGCUAGAUCCCUAUCUUCUAUGCCAGCUUUCUCUGACCCAGUUCCCCUCCAGACUUUUUGUACUGCAACUCCCCAUUAGCCUCACCAGUGUUGGGGAAGCUUGCACCACACUCUUCCUUUCCUUAACUUGGUCACAAUGGGAGCAGCAGCAAGGAAAAGAAAGAGAGGGGAGAUUUUUCUUUCUCCUUCUUCUACCAACUGCCCAUUGCACCGAUCCUACUUUGCAACAGGGCAUGGGGAACACUGGGAGAUGUCAUUCCCACAAAGGCUCUCACAAUUGUAUUACACUUUCAAUUAAGCAUGAUGAGGAAGUUUGUCUGGGCCACCUGCAGUAACAAACUUCGGGGUCUCAAAAUUGCAAUUGCAGCAGUCUUUCGGAGAACUACAUCUCCCAUGAGUCACUGGGAUCUGAUGCCUGGCACAUUGCUAAUCAGUCAAUACACCAGAGCAUUUGAGAAGGGAGUGAGGAAGUGGGGGGGAAACCCUUUCCCUGGGGAGAAAGGCUGGCAGGCUGGCAGGGACCACCUCUGGAGAUGGGUAGUUUUCCUGAACUCCUUGAAUUGGCUCAGAUUCAGAAAAAUUAUCUGAGUUCUCCACCUCCCCCCACCCAAAGGGAUAAUUAGCAAGGUAAUCUGAAAUACGUUUUAGAGAGUUCACACAUUCCCAAUUUUUAUUGGACAAACAGCUUCACAUAAUUGAAUAAUUUAAGUUUGGGUGAGGUCAGCCUAUCAGGGAAAGAUUUUCCCCCAUGAAGGUCUAUCUAGCCAUUCCCUUCAUGGGACAAGUUUUUAAUAUUCUAGGAAGUGGGACUAGUGUUUCCUCCUGCUACCCAUGAUAUUCAACCCAAAGACCUUCAGCAUACAGAUCAGGUGAGCGUUUCAUGUGUCUUGAAUAAUAUGCUAAAAUUGCUUUCACUUUUGGGGAUCUGUUUCUUUCAGCGACACCUAAGCCACUGCCCAUAUGCUGAGCCCCAUGGCUGAGAGAGGUCAUCCUUCCAUCCUACUGGAUGCCAUAUGGUGGCAAUUGAGAAGACUCAAACAGAAGAAUGAAACUUAAGCAGGGUGCUUUAGAGAAGUCUGGGGAUAUUGAGCAAAUAGGCUCUUCAUAUUAUGAGAUCAUGUAUCAGGUGAUGCAUUCUUCCCACGCUUAUGAGUUAAUUAUGAAAAAAAGC